GCUGGGCGUGGUGGCGCAUGCCUGUAAUUCCAGCCUCUCAAUAGGCUGAGAUAGGAGGAUCACAAGUUCAAAGCCAGCCUCAGCAACUUAGGGAGGCACUAGCAACUCAGUAAGACCCUGUCUCUA
rnacentral:sRNA from 1 species